UUUAGGUUGGAUAUUAGAAUUUCUCCACAGAGAAGGUGGCCAAGCGUUGGAGCGGGCUGCCUGGGGAAGGGGUGGUGUCCCUGUCCCUGGAGGUGUUUAAGAGAUGUGUGGACAUGGUUAAGUGGUGGGACUAGGCUAUGCAGCCUGUGCCUGCUGCAGCACUGGUGCUCUCAGUGCGUUAUCUCCUUUUUUCCAUCACCCAGGGCAAAGAUGGACCUAGACCUUGUCCCAGCUGCCUGAGCUGUGGUUCCCGGGGAGUCCUCCAGCUUUGUCUUCUGCGAUUUGUUCUGACUGCUGUGCUGCUGGCCAGGCCCACUGGGGCACUGAGCUGAUGCUCCACCUUGAAGACUUUCUUUCCCAUUGCCCUUUAGUUUUCUCGCUAAUUAAUGCUCUCUGGGUGUUCUUGUUUAAGCAAGGGGUCCCUAGGUUGCUGAUUGUGCCCUCUUUUUGUGUUCCUGGUCAGUUCUUCUAACCGUAUGGGUCUGAUCACCCUG